rnacentral:rRNA from 1 species
UACGUAGGUGACAAGCGUUGUCCGGAUUUACUGGGCGUAAAGAGCGCGCAGGCGGUCGUUCAAGUCGAGUGUGAAAGCCCCCCGGCUCAACUGGGGAGGGUCAUUCGAUACUGAUCGACUCGAAGGCAGGAGAGGGGUAGUGGAAUUCCCGGUGUAGUGGUGAAAUGCGUAGAUAUCGGGAGGAACACCAGUGGCGAAGGCGACUACCUGGCCUGUUCUUGACGCUGAGGCGCGAAAGCUAGGGGAGCAAACGGGG